rnacentral:tRNA from 1 species
GUUGACAUCCUUAGGGGGUUUGUGUUUCGGCCGCGAAUUUUGAGGGGGGACCCUCUGUCAAUG